UGUGAACUCGAAGAGUAGGGCGGGACACGUGGUAUCCUGUCUGAAUAUGGGGGGACCAUCCUCCAAGGCUAAAUACUCCUGACUGACCGAUAGUGAACCAGUACCGUGAGGGAAAGGCGAAAAGAACCCCGGCGAGGGGAGUGAAAAAGAACCUGAAACCGUGUACGUACAAGCAGUAGGAGCCUCUUUAUGGGGUGACUGCGUACCUUUUGUAUAAUGGGUCAGCGACUUAUAUUCUGUAGCAAGGUUAACCGUAUAGGGGAGCCGCAGGGAAACCGAGUCUUAACUGGGCGUUAAGUUGCAGGGUAUAGACCCGAAACCCGGUGAUCUAGCCAUGGGCAGGUUGAAGGUUGGGUAACACUAACUGGAGGACCGAACCGACUAAUGUUGAAAAAUUAGCGGAUGACUUGUGGCUGGGGGUGAAAGGCCAAUCAAACCGGGAGAUAGCUGGUUCUCCCCGAAAGCUAUUUAGGUAGCGCCUCGUGAACUCAUCUUCGGGGGUAGAGCACUGUUUCGGCUAGGGGGUCAUCCCGACUUACCAACCCGAUGCAAACUACGAAUACCGAAGAAUGUUAUCACGGGAGACACACGGCGGGUGCUAACGUCCGUCGUGAAGAGGGAAACAACCCAGACCGCCAGCUAAGGUCCCAAAGUCAUGGUUAAGUGGGAAACGAUGUGGGAAGGCCCAGACAGCCAGGAUGUUGGCUUAGAAGCAGCCAUCAUUUAAAGAAAGCGUAAUAGCUCACUGGUCGAGUCGGCCUGCGCGGAAGAUGUAACGGGGCUAAACCAUGCACCGAAGCUGCGGCAGCGACGCUUAGGCGUUGUUGGGUAGGGGAGCGUUCUGUAAGCCGUUGAAGGUGGCCUGUGAGGGUUGCUGGAGGUAUCAGAAGUGCGAAUGCUGACAUAAGUAACGAUAAUGCGGGUGAAAAACCCGCACGCCGGAAGACCAAGGGUUCCUGUCCAACGUUAAUCGGGGCAGGGUGAGUCGACCCCUAAGGCGAGGCCGAAAGGCGUAGUCGAUGGGAAACAGGUUAAUAUUCCUGUACUCGGUGUUACUGCGAAGGGGGGACGGAGAAGGCUAUGUUGGCCGGGCGACGGUUGUCCCGGUUUAAGCAUGUAGGCGGAUGUUCCAGGUAAAUCCGGAACGUUAUCAACGCUGAGGUGUGAUGACGAGGCACUACGGUGCUGAAGUGACAAAUGCCCUGCUUCCAGGAAAAGCCUCUAAGCAUCAGGUAACAUCAAAUCGUACCCCAAACCGACACAGGUGGUCAGGUAGAGAAUACCAAGGCGCUUGAGAGAACUCGGGUGAAGGAACUAGGCAAAAUGGUGCCGUAACUUCGGGAGAAGGCACGCUGAUAGGUAGGUGAAGUGGUUUACCCAUGGAGCUGAAAUCAGUCGAAGAUACCAGCUGGCUGCAACUGUUUAUUAAAAACACAGCACUGUGCAAACACGAAAGUGGACGUAUACGGUGUGACGCCUGCCCGGUGCCGGAAGGUUAAUUGAUGGGGUUAUCCGUAAGGAGAAGCUCUUGAUCGAAGCCCCGGUAAACGGCGGCCGUAACUAUAACGGUCCUAAGGUAGCGAAAUUCCUUGUCGGGUAAGUUCCGACCUGCACGAAUGGCGUAAUGAUGGCCAGGCUGUCUCCACCCGAGACUCAGUGAAAUUGAACUCGCUGUGAAGAUGCAGUGUACCCGCGGCAAGACGGAAAGACCCCGUGAACCUUUACUAUAGCUUGACACUGAACACUGGUCCUUGAUGUGUAGGAUAGGUGGGAGGCUUUGAAGCGUGGACGCCAGUCUGCGUGGAGCCAUCCUUGAAAUACCACCCUUUAAUGGCUGGUGUUCUAACGUGGGCCCCUAAUCGGGGUUGCGGACAGUGUCUGGUGGGUAGUUUGACUGGGGCGGUCUCCUCCUAAAGAGUAACGGAGGAGCACGAAGGUCAGCUAAUCCUGGUCGGACAUCAGGAGGUUAGUGCAAUGGCAUAAGCUGGCUUGACUGCGAGCGUGACGGCGCGAGCAGGUGCGAAAGCAGGUCAUAGUGAUCCGGUGGUUCUGAAUGGAAGGGCCAUCGCUCAACGGAUAAAAGGUACUCCGGGGAUAACAGGCUGAUACCGCCCAAGAGUUCAUAUCGACGGCGGUGUUUGGCACCUCGAUGUCGGCUCAUCACAUCCUGGGGCUGAAGUAGGUCCCAAGGGUAUGGCUGUUCGCCAUUUAAAGUGGUACGCGAGCUGGGUUUAGAACGUCGUGAGACAGUUCGGUCCCUAUCUGCCGUGGGCGCUGGAGAAUUGAGGGGGGCUGCUCCUAGUACGAGAGGACCGGAGUGGACGCAUCACUGGUGUUCGGGUUGUCAUGCCAAUGGCAUUGCCCGGUAGCUAAAUGCGGAAGAGAUAAGUGCUGAAAGCAUCUAAGCACGAAACUUGCCCCGAGAUGAGUUCUCCCUGACUCCUUGAGAGUCCUGAAGGAACGUUGAAGACGACGACGUUGAUAGGCCGGGUGUGUAAGCGCAGCGAUGCGUUGAGCUAACCGGUACUAAUGAACCGUGAGGCUUAACCUUACAACGCCGAAG
rnacentral:rRNA from 1 species